rnacentral:lncRNA from 1 species
CAGCAGCAGGUCAUCACGCUGCUCGAUGCCGACGCACCAGGCGCGGCGGCAUCCCCGGACCACCAGCUCAAGUGGAGCGACUUCCUCGACGCCGCCGCCCUCGAGGCGGCGCCGCAGGUCGUCCUCGGUCAGUACCACGAGGCUGCGGUCGCUGGUGGCGGAGCACACGCGUACGGUGACACUGACAGUACUGCGGCCAAUGGCGUCGGCGGGGACGGGGAGGAUAGCGCAGCGU